rnacentral:rRNA from 1 species
AAAUUGAAGAGUUUGAUCAUGGCUCAGAUUGAACGCUGGCGGCAGGCCUAACACAUGCAAGUCGAACGGUAACAGAAAGCAGCUUGCUGCUUUGCUGACGAGUGGCGGACGGGUGAGUAAUGUCUGGGAAACUGCCUGAUGGAGGGGGAUAACUACUGGAAACGGUAGCUAAUACCGCAUAAUGUCGCAAGACCAAAGAGGGGGACCUUC